AUGGCUCUUUGUUAACUAAACAUAAAGAGUCUGACCUGCCCAGUGAUCUAUUUUAACGGCCGCGGUACUUUGACCGUGCGAAGGUAGCAUAAUCAUUUGUCUKAUAAUUGAAGUCUGGAAUGAAUGGUAGGACAAGAGCAAAGCUGUCUCUAGUUACAAAAUAUAAUUUUAUUAUCAAGUUAAAAAGCUUGAAUAAAAUCAAAAGACGAGAAGACCCUAUCGAGCUUCAGUAAGUUAUUAAAAUUCUUUACAUUAAUGUAAAAACAAUAUUUAAAUUGACUUUAGUUGGGGCGACUCGAGAACAAAAAAAGCUUCUUGUUAUUUAAAGACUGAUGGUUGAUCCUUAAAUUAGGAUUAAAAGAAUUAGUUACCGUAGGGAUAACAGCAUUAUCUUUUUUGAGAGCUCAAAUCGAAAAAAAGGUUUGUGACCUCGAUGUUGGACCAAGAUACCCCUAARAUGCAGAAGUCUUAAAAGGUUGGUCUGUUCGACCAUUAAAAUCUUACGUGAUCUGAGUUCAGACCGG
rnacentral:rRNA from 1 species